rnacentral:lncRNA from 1 species
UCCCCGAGGAGGCAAGUGAGCGUGAGCGGUGCUUGAUACCAGCGCUGAGCUGCACGACCAAGGCAGGGAUUCGAGGCAGGGGAGCUGAACCCAGGGCUCCUUUAAAGAUCACAGGCCAGAAAAUCAGCCGCUCUUGCUUCUGGAGUAGCCUCUGUGCACAUGGUGAAGCGAGGUUGUGUGCGUGGCUGGGCUGCCUUCGCGGGGUGGGGGUGUGGAGAGCCGCCCCCCCACUCUCCUGGCUUGUGGGAAUGUUAUGGCAGUUUGUCCCCGAGCAGGGUUUCUGAGAAGGUGUUCCCGGGGCCCGACCUGCUAGAGGAGGCGUCUGGAGGCCCUCACAGGAAUAAUCCAGGUCGCCUUCACUGGAAAUCAGUUUGCUGAAACUAUUGAUACGCAGUUCUUAACGCUGAAGAAAAGGAGGUCCUGCGCCUUGACCACACGAGCGUGGCCCUUCCUCCAGACCCCCGCUCCGGACGCGCCCACCUAGCGUCUCCCAGGAACCAUGCGGCAGCUCAAGGGGAAGCCCAAGAAGGAGACGUCCAAGGACAAGAAGGAGCGGAAGCAGGCCAUGCAGGAGGCCCGGCAGCAGAUCACCACCGUGGUGCUGCCCACGCUGGCCGUGGUCGUGGUCCUGAUCGUGGUGUUUGUGUACGUGGCCACGCGCCCCACCAUCACCGAGUGAGGGCCCGCCCCGAGGGAGGAGGCUCGGGAGGGGAGAGCAGAAGAAGGGCCUUCAUCCGCUGCGAUUUUCCUGAUGCCGAGCUCUGAGCAGGAGCCCCCGUCUCCUCUGGUCUGUGACUUGAUUAAAGGUUCUCCACUUUUCUCGGGAGGGAAUAGGAAACGUUUUAUCAGUGAACGUGCCAUACACCUUAUGGUCCACUUCAUGUGCCUUUCAGACUUCAAAGCCGUGUGUGUGUGUGUGUGUGUGUGUGUGUGUUUCUCGCCUGCAAUCGAUGUGUAGCCCCACCUGGUGAGAGGAGGCGUCUCUGGGUCACGGAUCAGUUGGAAUCAGUGCUCACCCCAUCCCCGUUGUUUUGAACAUGACUUUCCUACACGUGUUCACAAUUUCCAAAGGGACUGUGUUUCUUCUCUGUGCUUCAUGUGAUUUGAAAUAUGUCGACUCAAAAGUGAAAUAUUUAUUUUUUGAAUAAAGGAGAUGAUAGCC